rnacentral:piRNA from 1 species
UUGCCAUACACACAUACUUCGACCCUCAGC